UACGUAGGUGGCAAGCGUUGUCCGGAUUUACUGGGCGUAAAGGGCGUGCAGGCGGUUUGUUUAGGCUAGGGUGAAAGCUCCCGGCUUAACUGGGAGAGGUCCUUGGAUACUGGCAAACUUGAGGGAGGCAGAGGAAAGUGGAAUUCCCGGUGUAGUGGUGAAAUGCGUAGAUAUCGGGAGGAACACCAGUGGCGAAGGCGACUACCUGGCCUGUUCUUGACGCUGAGGCGCGAAAGCUAGGGGAGCAAACGGG
rnacentral:rRNA from 1 species